rnacentral:misc_RNA from 1 species
AGGAUAAUUUUAUCUGGACAUUUAUGGGAUCAUCAUCAUCAUCAUCAUCAUCAUCAUCAUCAUCAUCAUAUCUUCUGGAAAUCCAACAACAGGACACUUUUUAGAGGAUGCCAACUGGACCAUCUACUGGAGGACUAUCAACUGAGGAAUCAUCAACAGACUACAGGAACAUCAACUAGACAUCAACUUGAAGACAAACUGAGUACCUACUAGAGAACAGACAACUGAAAUAAUUUAAUGGAGAAUCAUUAAAUGAGCAAUCUACUAGAGGAUUAUUAUUGGGACCAUCUACUAGAAAAACAGGACAUCAAAUUAAGCAAUCGUCUACAUAAUAUCUAAAGGACCACCAACUGGACAUCUACUAAAGGAUCAACAACAGGACACUUAUAGGAGGAACAACAAUUAGACCACCCUAUGGAAAAACAACUGGACCAUUAAGUUGAGGAUCAUUCACUGGACAAUCUACUGGAGUACCAUAAUCAGGACAUCAACUUGAUAAUCAUCAUAGGACAUCUUCUAGAGGACUAUAAGCAGGACAUUGUCUGGAGAAACAUCAUCAGGACCAUUUAUAAGAGGAACAUUGACAGGACAUUUAAUUGGGAGCAAUCCAAUGAACUAUUUAUGGGAUAACCACUAACACCAAAGGCUGUUGGAUCAAACCAUAUAACUAUUAAGUCAAGACUUACUUUUCUUGUAUUUUAAUGUAAAAUGUUAAAUAAAUAUUUCAAUUUUU